GCUCAGAACGAACGCUGGCGGCGUGCUUAACACAUGCAAGUCGAACGAGAAAGGAACCUUCGGGUUCUGAGUAGAGUGGCGCACGGGUGAGUAACACGUGGAUAAUCUGCCUGAUGGACAGGGAUAACACCCCGAAAGGGGUGCUAAUACCGGAUAAGCCCACAGCAUCUACGGAUGCAGCGGGAAAAGGGGGCCUCUUCAUGAAAGCUUCCGUCAUCAGAUGAGUCCGCGGUCCAUUAGCUAGUUGGUAGGGUAAAGGCCUACCAAGGCGACGAUGGAUAGCUGGUUUGAGAGAAUGAUCAGCCACACUGGAACUGAGACACGGUCCAGACUCCUACGGGAGGCAGCAGUGGGGAAUCUUGCGCAAUGGGGGCAACCCUGACGCAGCAACGCCGCGUGAGUGAUGAAGGUUUUCGGAUCGUAAAGCUCUGUCAGGAGGGAAGAAACCCCGAACGGUUAAUACCCGUUCGGAUGA
rnacentral:rRNA from 1 species